UACGUAGGGCGCAAGCGUUGUCCGGAAUUAUUGGGCGUAAAGAGCUCGUAGGCGGCUUGUCACGUCGGAUGUGAAAGCCCGGGGCUUAACCCCGGGUCUGCAUUCGAUACGGGCAGGCUAGAGUUCGGUAGGGGAGAUCGGAAUUCCUGGUGUAGCGGUGAAAUGCGCAGAUAUCAGGAGUAACACCGGUGGCGAAGGCGGAUCUCUGGGCCGAUACUGACGCUGAGGAGCGAAAGCGUGGGGAGCGAACAGG
rnacentral:rRNA from 1 species